rnacentral:rRNA from 1 species
GAUGAACGCUGGCGGCGUGCCUAAUACAUGCAAGUCGAGCGAACGGACGAGAAGCUUGCUCCUCUGAUGGUAGCGGCGGACGGGUGAGUAACACGUGGAUAACCUACCUAUAAGACUGGGAUAACUUCGGGAAACCGGAGCUAAUACUGGAUGAUAUUUUGAACCGCAUGGUUCAAAAGUGAAAGACGGUCUUGCUGUCACUUAUAGAUGGAUCCGCGCUGCAUUAGCUAGUGGGUAAGGUAACGGCUCACCAAGGCAACGAUGCAUAGCCGACCUGAGAGGAUGAUCCGCCACACUGGAACUGAGACACGGUCCAGACUCCUACGGGAGGCAGCAGUGGGGAAUAUUGGACAAUGGGCGCAAGCCUGAUCAAGCCACACCGCGUGGGUGAAGAAGGUCUUCGGGUUGUAAAGCUCUUUUGUUGGGAAAGAAAAGAAGCAGGAUAAUAUCCCGCUGUUCUGACGGUACCAAAAGAAAAAGCACCGGCUAACUUCGUG